rnacentral:rRNA from 1 species
CCUUCGGGUGGCAGCAGUGGGGAAUAUUGCGCAAUGGGGGAAACCCUGACGCAGCAACGCCGCGUGAGUGAAGACGUAUCUCGGUUUGUAAAGCUCUAUCAGCAGGGAAGAAGGAAGACGGUAGCCGACUAAUAAGCACCGGCUCACUACGUGCCAGCAGCCGGGGUAAUACGCAGGAGGCGAGCGUUAUCCGGAUUUACUGGGGGUAAAGGGAGCGUAGACGGCGUUGCAAGUCUGAAGUGAAAGUCCGGGGCUCAACCGGGGAACCGCCUUGGAAACUGGGAGGCUGGAGUGCUGGAGAGGUAGGCGGAAUUCCUGGUGUAGCGGUGAAAUGCGUAGAUAUCAGGAGGAACACCGGUGGCGAAGGCGGCUUACUGGACAGUGACUGACGCUGAGGAGCGAAAGCGUGGGUAGCAAACAGGAUUAGAUACCCGGGUAGUC